GAGUUUGAUCCUGGCUCAGGACGAACGCUGGCGGCGUGCCUAAUACAUGCAAGUCGAGCGAGCUUGCCUAGAUGAUUUUAGUGCUUGCACUAAAUGAAACUAGAUACAAGCGAGCGGCGGACGGGUGAGUAACACGUGGGUAACCUGCCCAAGAGACUGGGAUAACACCUGGAAACAGAUGCUAAUACCGGAUAACAACACUAGACGCAUGUCUAGAGUUUGAAAGAUGGUUCUGCUAUCACUCUUGGAUGGACCUGCGGUGCAUUAGCUAGUUGGUAAGGUAACGGCUUACCAAGGCAAUGAUGCAUAGCCGAGUUGAGAGACUGAUCGGCCACAUUGGGACUGAGACACGGCCCAAACUCCUACGGGAGGCAGCAGUAGGGAAUCUUCCACGAUGGACGAAAGUCUGAUGGAGCAACGCCGCGUGAGUGAAGAAGGGUUUCGGCUCGUAAAGCUCUGUUGGUAGUGAAGAAAGAUAGAGGUAGUAACUGGCCUUUAUUUGACGGUAAUUACUUAGAAAGUCACGGCUAACUACGUGCCAGCAGCCGCGGUAAUACGUAGGUGGCAAGCGUUGUCCGGAUUUAUUGGGCGUAAAGCGAGUGCAGGCGGUUCAAU
rnacentral:rRNA from 1 species